rnacentral:rRNA from 1 species
CACACCGCCCGUCACACCAUGGGAGUGGAUUGCACCAGAAGUGGGUGAGCUAACCGCAAGGAAGCAACCCCUAAGGUGUGGUUCAUGACUGGGGUG